rnacentral:rRNA from 1 species
AGAGUUUGAUCCUGGCUCAGAUUGAACGCUGGCGGCAGGCCUAACACAUGCAAGUCGAGCGGUAGAGAGAAGCUUGCUAUCUACUUGAGAGCGGCUGGACGGGUGACGUCAAUGACCUAGGAACUCUGCCUGGUAGUGGCGGUUGACUAGAUCCUGUCUCGGAAACUGGAACGCUAAUAUCCGCAUACGUCCUACGGGAGAAAGCAGGGGACCUUCGGGCCUUGCGCUAUCAGAUGAGCCUAGGUCGGAUUAGCUAGUUGGUGAGGUAAUGGCUCACCAAGGCGACGAUCCGUAACUGGUCUGAGAGGAUGAUCAGUCACACUGGAACUGAGACACGGUCCAGACUCCUACGGGAGGCAGCAGUGGGGAAUAUUGGACAAUGGGCGAAAGCCUGAUCCAGCCAUGCCGCGUGUGUGAAGAAGGUCUUCGGAUUGUAAAGCACUUUAAGUUGGGAGGAAGGGCAUUAACCUAAUACGUUGGUGUCUUGACGUUACCGACAGAAUAAGCACCGGCUAACUCUGUGCCAGCAGCCGCGGUAAUACAGAGGGUGCAAGCGUUAAUCGGAAUUACUGGGCGUAAAGCGCGCGUAGGUGGUUCGUUAAGUUGGAUGUGAAAUCCCCGGGCUCAACCUGGGAAACUGCAUUCAAAACUGACGAGCUAGAGUAUGGUAGAGGGUGGUGGAAUUUCCUGUGUAGCGGUGAAAUGCGUAGAUAUAGGAAGGAACACCAGUGGCGAAGGCGACCACCUGGACUGAUACUGACACUGAGGUGCGAAAGCGUGGGGGAGCAAACAGGAUUAGAUACCCUGGUAGUCCACGCCGUAAACGAUGUCAACUAGCCGUUGGGAGCCUUGAGCUCUUAGUGGCGCAGCUAACGCAUUAAGUUGACCGCCUGGGGAGUACGGCCAGUUAACAAGGUUGAAAACUC